AUGCUGUUGUUCUUUCUGUCUUUGUGUAACGUUUGUCUGUGCUUCACACCACGUACAUAUGAAAACAUUGAACUAGUUGCGGAAGCUUCAUAGGCUGAUGGUGAAUGUUUAGAGUGAACCACAUGACAGUUUAUACUGACUUUUAUAGAUUGAUGUGUGAAAAUGAAGAAUGAAAGAAGUUAUUGGGCACCAUGAGCAAGUUAGAGAAUGGUCAAUAUGAUGACAGCAUUUCUUGGUUAUUAAAUCAAUUACAUCACGCAGAGUAAAACUUGUUUGAUUUCUGCAGUAAAAGUAAAAAAAAAAAAAUUGUAGUCACCCAGAGAGAGAGAGAGGAGGCAGGUGUUAAAGAUGGAAAAGACAGCCAAGGUGUUUUUCUACAUUCAUUUUACAAGACAAUUCAUAGUGGAAACUACUACAGCUGUACAGCACACUUGAUCACUACAGUGCUGACUUCUAAGAAAGUACUGUGUACUGUGUUUCUGUUGUUUCUGACAAGCCAUUUGAAGACAGUCUUAUAAGUGUUAAAGGGAAAUUAACUCAAAGUAAUAUAACAUAUGUAGCACAGCACUAAGAGCACACAGUUACACAACCAUUCAGAAAAGGCCAUGACGAACAAUAACAGUUGUUGUAGCAAAAUUUCAGAUGUCUUCAACAUAGUUUCAUUGUAUACAAACCUAAAUUGUUUUUAUUUCAGUGAAUUCACAAACGCCAACCCUGAGCUUGAUUCCUGUAACAACUCUGAAAAGUACAUUUGUCAUGUGUGUUAUUGAGGAUUUCUACCCCAUGGAUUACUACUUCACUAUACGAUGGAAAGUAAAUGAUACCAUCAGCCAGACAGAGCCAGUACUGGAGUACAAAUUGAAUGAUGAAGGUCUUUAUACAGCACAAAAUCUUUAUAAAGUCAGCAGUGAGACAUGGAAUGCAAAUACUAACUAUACCUGCGAGGUCACACACCAGGGCAAAACAAUUAUUGAGAAGAAGAACUUCAAGUCAUCUAAUGCUCCAUUCACACUAACACUGAAGCCACCAAUUGAGAGAGACUUAUUUGUCAAUGAUAAAGUUAUCUUGGAAGCUGUUGUUUCUGGAGAUGUAAAAACGGCAGUGAAUGAAGCUUCAGUGUCGUGCAUAGUGAAGAAUGAAUCUGUAAUCAGUGUAACAGGAACUAUAAACUUUUCUCAGGAUAUUUCACAGUUUAUAAGAAUCCACAACAUCACUGUUGAUAUAAAGAAAUGGUUUGAUGGUGAAAUGGUCACCUGCACCAUUCAUGACACAAUUAACAACAGAGACAUCAAGCAGGAGAUCCGUUUCGAUAAAGGAGAUGGACUGAAACCCAGUGUUGUCAUUUACACACCUGAUUCUAUUGACACAGACAAAGUCUCUCUGGUGUGUGAGGUCACCAGCCCUAAACUUGGCAAUGUCUAUAUCAUGUGGAAAGUGGGUGAAGAGCCUUACAUAAAGGGCUCAACCAGCACUCCCAUCCAUCAACGGGACUCCACAUCUGUUCUCAGCAUACUAACAAUAUCAAAACAAGAGUAUGAAAAGUACAACACCAUCACCUGCUCAGUCAUACAUGCCAACAUGAAUAAUAGAAGAAAUCCAUUACAAGUUUCAACAUCCCAAAGGAAACAGCCAGAGUUAUCAUGUGAUUAAUGUACAAGUACUGGACCAAAUGAUCAUCAUGACAUUUACCUGUUGUUCACUUGUGUUCUCCAGUGCUUCUGUCCUGUUGCUCUCUUGUCAGAUCAUAUAUCUUUGUUGUUUUUCUGUGUUUUUCUGUGUAUAUCUGUAUCACUGAACUGCAUGGAUCAAACAUAAAUGCCAAAUUACAGUCAAAACUAUGUUUAAUUUUAUAUUGCAUGCAAAUAAAUAUGGUCACAUGAAAGCAUAGUCUGCAUAAUAUCAUAGUGUGAAAAAUCAAGAUUUUAAAUUUUCUUAUGUGUUUUGUCCUGUGCUUUAUGUACCACUGUUAGGC